CCAGAGGAUCGGGCGACCGCGGCCCCCGCGUGAGUGGGGGGCGAGGAAAGUCCGGGCUCCAUGGAACGACGGUGCCGGGUAACGCCCGGCGGGGGCGACCCCAGGGACAGUGCCACAGAGAGCAGACGGCGACGGCUUCGGCCCCGCCAUGGUGAAAGGGUGCGGUAAGAGCGCACCGCGCGACCGGUAACGGAAGCGGCAUGGUAAACCCCACCGGGAGCAAGAUCGAAUAGGGGUGGCACGGGGCUUACGUCCCAGGGCGCGUUCCCGCCCGCUACCCGGGUUGAUUGCUGCAGGCGGCGCGCAAGCGUCGUCGUAGAGGAAUGGUCGCCCAUUUCCGCGAUAAAGCGGAAAGGACAGAACCCGGCUUACAGAUCCUCUGGCCUU
rnacentral:RNase_P_RNA from 1 species